rnacentral:rRNA from 1 species
UACGUAGGGUGCAAGCGUUGUCCGGAAUUAUUGGGCGUAAAGAGCUCGUAGGCGGUUUGUCGCGUCUGCUGUGAAAACGCGAGGCUCAACCUCGCGCCUGCAGUGGGUACGGGCAGACUAGAGUGCGGUAGGGGAGAUUGGAAUUCCUGGUGUAGCGGUGGAAUGCGCAGAUAUCAGGAGGAACACCGAUGGCGAAGGCAGCUCGCUGGGACGUCACUGACGCUGAGACGCGAAAGCGUGGGUAGCAAACAGG